UUUGUUUGAGAAAAAAAUAAAAAAAUCUAAACACUUUCUCAUACUUUCUUAUCAUUUCUCACCAAAUCCCUUCAUCCAAACAGAGCUUUACUUCUAGCAGAAAGCCCAAUGUAAUUUUUGGAGAGGUUGAUCUACUCUCCACUAUGCUCAUGUCUUCCUCCGGGUUCUAUUUCUUCUUCAGGAUGCUUCGGGGAUAUUUCAUAGACACGUGUGUCCAUUGUUUGGAGACGCCUCAAGAUACAUUUAGACAGCUGGAAGUAAUAUUACUGUAGCCAGGACACCUCUGGGAAAUAGAACAAAAAUGUCCUUCCAAACAGAUGCAUGAGACAAAGGCCAUGGCUGGAAAAUCAACUAAGGAGUGUACAAAUGCAUUAACCUAGGAGUGCAAGUAGGUUGCGGUGCCAAAUCCCUGAUAAGAUUGAUGAGGGAAGACAAAAAACGGGGCCAUCUAGAUAUCAUGCAUGCUGUAGUUCUCAAACCUCUUCAACAAGUUCUUGUCGAGGGACACCAGAACGCCUUUUGAUAGCCACAAAAUUGCCAUCACGAAGAAGCCCUUUGUAAACAAGGCCAAAACUUCCAUAUCCAAUGAGAUUGCUUUCAUGGAACAGAUUGGUAGCUUGCUCCAACUCUUCCAUUGUGAACUGUGUAGCUCCGUGUGGUCCAGGCACGGGUGGGGUGGCUGCGGAUGAACUGGGUGGCUCUGAAGAACCCGUAUCUGAAUUCCUGUUUGAUAAAUUUCUACACUGCGAUAUACAGUAACAUGCGAUGCCAAUAGCUAUUGCCAGUACUGCUAGCGCCCCGACAACACCUCCAACUAUGGCCGCGAAUGAGUUUGACAUCCGGUAAAUGUAAGUCCUCCAAUUCCUCCUCAAACCUGAACAUUUGAACCUGUGAUAUAGAAGAACUAGAUAGUUAUUUAGAACCAGUUUACUUAAAAUCUCAGUGAUACCAAUAUUUAGAUCCACAGCUCAAGUGGUUCUCUUGAUUUGAAUGAAAUAAGCCUUCUGUGCUUGUUUCGCCGACAAAGUGCUCAGAUAGGUGAACUGGCUGAUCUCAAAGUAUCCACAUAGGAAACAGCUAUUGUGGUGAGGGAUUAAUGCUGCCAAUUUUUUUCUUACAAAGAAGAAAAGAGGACAACUCACUGGCUUUUCAUGUAUGGAUUCCAUACAAACCCUACAAACAGUGUUUGUACUUGCAUACUUCUGGUACCUCAGGCAAAAAAAAAAAAAACAGUGGCUUAGCAAGAACUUAGAUGGGCAUUUCUCAGUGAUGAAAGUGACUUUUAUUCGAGUGGGAUUGGAGGGACAUCAUUAUUGAAGUUGAAGGGGAUCAAAAGAAAAGAUUGAGCUGUAACUAGAGGCUGGUUCUAGUUACAAAAAUAACUUCUUUCCAAAAUGGGGUAAGGUUGUAUAGAUGCCUUUCUCAUAGCCCGCUUUAACAGAAAUCUCGUGCACUGAGUUGCCUUUUGAUCGAGCUGUAAGGCUGUAUAGAUGCAUUUCUCGAAUCCUGUUUUAACAGAAGUCUUGUGUACUGAAUGGGCCUUUGAUCGAUCUGUAAUUAGGAAGUGUUGUUGAAGUCUGAAAGAUUCUUGAGCUGUAAGGAACCCCCCCCCCCCCCCCCCCCCCCCUCAUAUUUACUUGUUUUGUAUGUUUUUUGUCUUUUGAUUUUGUUGUGUUUUGUGUUGGGCUGGAAAGCAGACGGGAUUGGUGGAAAGGAAGUUGCCAGACUGGAUGUAGAAGGCUCAUGUCAGAGCAAUAAGUCUAAGAAUACAAAAAUCAAACGCAAAAUCGGAUAUAAAAAAUAAACAAUGGAUAGGAUUUUUGAGAA